GAUUACAUAAAUGUAUGACUUUUCAGGUUAAGCAAACGGCCUUGUAGAAGUCAAGCGUUGCUCUGUUUCUUACCAUGCCCACCUGGUUUCAAGAUCAUUAGUCGUUUCAAUUCGAUCUGCUUCCAACAGAAUCAGGGAAAGAGUUUGAUAAAUCAUAGCUCCCCCUUCCCACAGUGCAGAUUUUUUUAUUUCUUCAACAUCUACCGAGGCUUUUCUAUCGUGUUUCUUCGAACGUUUCAGUCCAUUGCUAGAUAGCGACAUUGAAACCACGUCAAUGUAGUUCUACAGCACAGACGGAGAGGUUUGAGGACGUGUAUGAGCUUUUGAUGUGGCAAAUAGAAUAUGACGGAAAGCAAUCAAAGGAAUAUUAGACGGAGAGUCUUCUUUUUUCAACAGGAUCUUUUUGGAAUCCAUCUCUUGUGCACUCGUUGAUGGUCAGUCCCCUCGAUAGACUCGGUCCACGAUGCACGUGCUACCAUAUAUUGGCCACUGUUGAAAGAUGAAGAGUGCGUUCAAUCUCAUGUGUUUCCAUUUUAUUGACUAAAAGUGUGUAUUGAAAACCGCAUUUUCAAUUUUGAAUCGCAAUUUUGCAAGUAAAAAGAAAUGUUUUUCACGCCA